rnacentral:ncRNA from 1 species
GGCUGGUCAUCACAUCCACAAACUUGGACUGCUGCUCGCAAAUAAUGCGGGUAAUUCGCAGCCUGUCUUCGUGGGUAAGCAAAUUGAGAUAGUUAUGCGCCAGUUCGUUACUGAGGAUAUUGGUGCCGUCACUAAUACGCAGAAUACAGAUGCCUACCGGUGCCGACGCCACGAUCUUACGGUUAAAUUGCUCGUUCUCUUCCAGUUGAAACGCAUUCACUUCUGCAGGCAACAGCAUUUUCCGCUCAAACACCAGCGCCAACACGAACAAUAGAAUCGCCGAGAGGAUAUUCAGCACCAGCAUGUUGAUCAUCAAUCCGCCGAUAUGGGACAGCAGCACCUUCAGCGGCAGCGAGUACACAAUACUGAACGAAGUCGGCGGCAGCGCCUUCUUCAGAAUGAGUUCGUCAUAACCAUUCACAUAGCCAAAAUAGUUAUGCUCGGAGGGAUAGCCGCCUACCGAGGAAACAGAGAGCCCUUUGUCAUCGG